UUGAAUUUUAACAGUUGAGGACUGGAUUUGCUGCAUUGACCAAGAACCCGGACAGAAGGGGAAAAGGCAGUGCCUAUCUGCAGCAGCUAAGGAUAUCAUCUGGGUGUGACAGACAAAUAAAGGAAACAGAUGUAUAUGGCUAACAUGCUGUUGAGAGCAGCACUCCCUGUGAAGAAACUUAAGGAUAAAUUGUUUGAAAUCUUCCGGACCCACAUGAAAAAAAAGACUAAAUUUUACCAAAAUGUUUGGACAGUUUCGUGGAAGGUGUCUGUCUGUGAGCUCUAAUGGGUUUUCUCAUGUUAUCCUCUGCAACUCACUUCUUGAAACUAUAUACCACACAUCUCUGGCAAGCUGCUCAUGCUCAGCAUUGAAGAAAUAUUCUCUACUUGUGGAAUGAACUUCCUGAGGUUGUGGUGGAUGCAGUUUCUCAUGUCUCCCAUAAAUCGUGAAUGACACAAAGAAAAGGAGUUACAAUGAUCUAGCAACAUUCCCAACCUCAAAAGAAACAGCAUCAAUUGCUUUAUACCAAUGAAGUAUUCUCAAGUCGAGUCAUUGUCAUCAUGAUUGUGGCUGCCCAAAUUGCAAUAGGAGAAAUGCCCAGGUCACCUGUGUUGGAUGCUGCUUGCGAGAUAAUGUUGGUGAGGAAACUGGACCAACACGUCUGGUCUUCUUGGAAAAAUUGCCAUAGGAUCUUUUGCAGUCUGCCUGAAAGGUCCGAUGAUUGAAUGGCUCAUCUGAAAGAUAGCAUUUCUGGCAGUGUAGCAUUUGCACUACCAUUGUACUGAAGCGUUAGCCCAAAUUUAUGGACAAGUAUCUGCAUUGGACUUGAACCCACAACCUCCUGAGAUGUUUCAAGAUGGUUUCCACACCAUUAAUAUCCAACGAGUGAAUAUUAUGAUCACCAGCAAUGGACAACUUUCAGGUAAUUACUGUGUUUCUUUGUGAGAAUUGUCAAGCAGCUCACUGUCAUCCUUUAAACCUGCACAUGUGAGAAACUUGACUGAAUGAUAAUAAAGACUAUAUAAUGCACACAUGGCUUUUCAGGGAGAUUACAGGGGCAGACUAUGGCUUUGCAACUUCAGCAGAACUUCCAAAUUGAUUC